CCCUUAGACGUUCUGGGCCGCACGCGCGCUACACUGACGGAGCCAGCGAGUAUAAACCUUGGCCGAGAGGUCUGGGAAAUCUUGUGAAACUCCGUCGUGCUGGGGAUAGAGCAUUGUAAUUAUUGCUCUUCAACGAGGAAUUCCUAGUAAGCGCAAGUCAUCAGCUUGCGUUGAUUACGUCCCUGCCCUUUGUACACACCGCCCGUCGCUACUACCGAUUGAAUGGCUUAGUGAGGCUUCCGGAUUGGUUUAGAGAAGGGGGCGACUCCAUCUUGGAACCGAGAAGCUAGUCAAACUUGGUCAUUUAGAGGAAGUAAAAGUCGUAACA
rnacentral:rRNA from 1 species